AUGCUGGUCCCGGCGCCGUACCAGGCACCGGAAAAGAAGGCCAAAAAGAAGAGCAAGGAGGCCAAGGGUGGCCUCCGCCGUAAAGGCGCUUCGGACAUAGUGUCCGAAGACACCGAAACUCUCUCCUCUCAUGACGAAGAUGAAGAGGGGGAGGAAGAGAGCAAUUCCCCCCUUAAGGGGGGAAAGAAGAAGAGGGCGGCUUCCGUAGAUCUAGAUAAGAAGGCGUCCAAGAAAGGGAGAAUCUCCCUUACGGAUGAUUUCGAGACGGACGCCGAUGACGUCCACGAGUGGCGCCCCAGGCCAAAGCCCCUGGCCGGAUCGUAA
rnacentral:rRNA from 1 species